rnacentral:rRNA from 1 species
UGGGGAAUAUUGCACAAUGGGCGCAAGCCUGAUCCAGCCAUGCCGCGUGUGUGAAGAAGGCCUUCUGGUUGGAAAGCACUUUCAGCGGGGAGGAAGGUGAUAAGUUUAAUAACCUUGUCGAUUGACGUUACCCGCAGAAGAAGCACCGGCCAACUCCGUGCCAGCAGCCGCGGUAAUACGGAGGGUGCAAGCGUUAAUCGGAAUUACUGGGCGUAAAGCGCACGCAGGCGGUCUGUCAAGUCGGAUGUGAAAUCCCCGGGCUUAACCUGGGGACUGCAUUCGAAACUGGCCGGCUAGAGUCUUGUGGAGGGGGGUAGAAUUCGAGGUGUAGCGGUGAACUGCGAAGAGCUCUGGUAGAAUACCGGUGGCGAAGGCGGCCCCCUGGAAAAAGACUGACGCUCAGGUGCGAAAGCGUGGGGAGCAAACAGG